rnacentral:lncRNA from 1 species
CUUCUAUCUUGUUGGUAUUCUGUCUCCCUGGUGCUUCUCAUGUGCUGAGCUUGAUAGAGAAGGUGACCUGGCAAGGAACUGAAGGACAUCUGGCAAUGUACUGAGUGAGGAACUGGGGCCCACAGUCCAGCAGUCUCCAAGGAAUCAAAUCCCACAACAGCCAUGUGAGUGAGCAUGGAAGUAGAUCUUCCCCGGUCAAGCCCCCAGAAGGACCCAGCCCUGCGGACACCUUGACCGAAACCUGUGAGAGCUCCGGAAAUAGAGGAACCAGCAUUCCCUCUGGAAUACAUCAGCACUGUUGCCUUUGAGGCUGGCCUGCUUGAAUGCACACCUGAGCUCCGGAUUCACAGUGGAGGAAGCCAGAUGCCAUGUCAUGAGGGUGCUCAAGCAACUUUUUGGAGAUGUAUGUAUGGAGAGAAACUGAGGCCUCCUGCCAACAGCCAGCACUAACUUGGCAAGCAUGUUUGAGAGCCACCUGGGAAGUGGAGCCUUCAGCCCCAGUUAAGCCUUCAGAUGAGACUGCAGUCCUGGCCACCAUCUGGACUGCAACUUCACAAGAGCUCCUAAGCCAGAGCCAUGCAGAUGGAUUCUUGGCCCCCAGAAAUUGUGCCACUACAUUUUGGGAAAUUUAUUAUGCAGCCAUAGAUUACCAAUACACUCACUAUUUCUUUUUUCUGAUGCCAUACUAAAAAAAAAAAAAAAA